GCUCCCGUAGCUCAGCUGGAAAGAGCGCCGUCGGCAGUGAUGCUGGUGCAGGUCGCAGGUUCGAAUCCUGUCGGGAGCC
rnacentral:tRNA from 1 species